GUAGGAGCUACUGUCCAACUCCAGCGUCAGCCACUGGAUGGUCCCGCCCAUGUUUAUCAUCUGCUUCUUCUCAGAUAUGAUCUGCCACUACAUGUUCAUCCUGGUACAGAGCGACAAGAAGCUCACCCAGGAGCAAGUAUCUGACAGUUAAGUCCUAAUUUGAAGCAGAGCCUUCAGUGAAAAUGGAAAUUACAUUCCCAAAAAGUCUUUUUCUUGACAUGAGAAUAUUACAUCAACAACCCAGAGGAUAAAAAUAUCACCACUUCCUCCCACUAUGCUCUCAGGCAUGAUGAAAGGAAAUAUAACAAACGUCAUCCCUAUGAUUCUUACUUGUGAAUGGAUCAACAUUGACAUACUCAGGCAUUGUUGCAACCAAGGUCCUAUUUCCACUGACCCUCUGUUUUUUCCUAUGCUGCAGCAAGUUAUCAAACUACUCACAUUAGAUCCACCCUGAAUGAGCUCUGCAUCCUGGUAUUUCCUCAACGUAUUUGGGCUUCAGAGAAUUUACUGUGAUUCUAGGCCAAGAUAAUGGCAACUGACCAAUAAGAAAUGAGGCAGGAGCAGAUGACCAGAGCAGCCAUGGCCAUGCCCACAGAAACCAGCAAAGCUUCCAAGACAAAGUAGAAAGUUCUGGAGCUGAUGGGUCACCAGUGGACACCAGAUGAUGUCAAAGAGCUCAUGGGCAAAGGCCUUCACUUUGAAGUUAUGUUCAAAAAGGAGUU
rnacentral:lncRNA from 1 species